GUAUGAAAAUUAAACAUUACAAAGAACUAGGAGAUUUUGAUCUUCAAUGGUCGAAACCCUUGAAUCUCGCCGUCUUCGAAUCCUCCGUAGUAGCUAUCUUCUCAAUGCAGUGUUUUCUUUCGUACGUAAACAUUACAAAGAACUAGGAGAUUUUGAUCUUCAAUGGUCGAAACCCUUGAAUCUCGCCGUCUUCGAAUCCUCCGUAGUAGCUAUCUUCUCAAUGCAGU
rnacentral:lncRNA from 1 species